UACGAGUGGUGCAAACGUUAUUCGGAAUCACUGGGCUUAAAGGGUGCGUAGGCGGCUACGAAAGUCAGGUGUGAAAUCCCUCGGCUCAACCGAGGAACUACGCUUGAAACUUCGUGGCUUGAGGAAGACAGAGGUGAGCGGAACUGAUGGUGGAGCGGUGAAAUGCGUUGAUAUCAUCAGGAACACCGGUGGCGAAGGCGGCUCACUGGGUCUUAUCUGACGCUGAUGCACGAAAGCCAGGGGAGCAAACGGG
rnacentral:rRNA from 1 species